rnacentral:SRP_RNA from 1 species
GCCAGGCAUGGUGGCAGGUGCCUGUAAUCCCAGUUACUUGGGAGGCUGAGGCAGGAGAAUCGCUUGAACCCAGGAGGCAGAGGUUGCAGUGAGUUGUGAUUGUGUCACUGCACUCCAUCCUGGGUGAUAGAGCGAGACUCUGUCUCCC